UACGGAGGGUGCAAGCGUUAUCCGGAUUUACUGGGUUUAAAGGGUGCGUAGGCGGGCCCUUAAGUCAGUUGUGAAAUCUCCGGGCUUAACUCGGAAAGGUCAACUGAUACUGUGCGACUAGAGUGCAGAAGGGGCAACUGGAAUUCUCGGUGUAGCGGUGAAAUGCGUAGACAUCGAGAGGAACACCUGCGGCGAAGGCGGGUUGCUGGGCUGACACUGACGCUGAUGCGCGAAAGCCAGGGGAGCGAACGGG
rnacentral:rRNA from 1 species